rnacentral:rRNA from 1 species
AUAUCAUUUAUAAAGAGUCGAGCCUGCCCAGUGAUUAUUAUUUAACGGCCGCGGUACUCUGACCGUGCAAAGGUAGCAUAAUCACUUGCCUUAUAAUUGAAGGCUAGUAUGAAUGGUUUGACAAGAAUAGUACUGUCUCUACAUAAAUUUCAUAAAAUUUGGUUUUUAGGUGAAGAAACCUAAAUAAAAUUGAAAGACAAGAAGACCCUAUCGAGCUUAAAAUAAUUCUCUCGAAUAUAUGCAAAACUAAUUGCGCGAGAUAAUUUUGGUUGGGGCGACUAAGGAACAUACAAAGCUUCCUAUAAAAUAUAUUAACCUAUAUGUUUUGAUCCAAAAGUUUUGAUUAACAAAAUUAGUUACCGUAGGGAUAACAGCAUAAUCUUUUUAAAGAGUUCUUAUCGAAAAAAAGGUUUGUGACCUCGAUGUUGGACUAGGAUACCCAGAAAGGUGCAGAAGCCUUCAACGGUUGGUCUGUUCGACCA